CGCUUGUUGCCGACAUACGCGUAGGACUUUUCGAACACUCAUUGCUCUGGUACACUUCGAGUACAUUGAAAUCAACGCUUGUCACACAGGCCGAAGCUAAGGGUUGACGGCGAGUCAAAGGAAUGCUGGGGAGGAGGAAGCAGAUGGGUUGCUGGAGAGGUGAGGAGGAUACAUCCCUUUGCUCCAGUAUUUCACCUGCCUCCUUCUCCCCAGCCCGAAAAGCAGGUGCUUCUUCAAGGUCUGCAGGAGAUUUUGUCGUUCACGACCUGGGCGUCAACGGACAAAACGCCGCUGCUUACGCCUUGUCGUGGUGAACCCCAGUUCGGCGUUGGCCGCCUUCAGCACCGCUCG